UAUCUUGAAAAUUACCUCUGGAUGAAUUAUUCUCCAGAGGUGUCCAGCAAAGCCUAUUUAAUGUCAAUCUGCUGUAUGGUGAAUGAGAAGUUCAGAGAAAAUGUCCCUGCAUGGGAGACUUUUAAGAAGAAGCCAGACCACUUCCCAUUUUUUUUUAAGUGCAUCUUGAGGGCAGCAUUAGCUGAAACUGAUGGUGAAUUUUCACUCCAUGAACAGACAGUCUUACUGCUUUUUCUUGAUCAUUGCUUCAAUAGCUUGGAAGUGGACUUGAUACGGAGCCAAGUACAGCAGCUUAUCUCCCUCCCCAUGUGGAUGGGCUUACAGCCUGCACGAUUGGAAUUAGAAUUAAAAAAGACACCUAAGCUAAGAAAAUUCUGGAACUUGAUUAAAAAGAAUGAUGAAAAGAUGGAUCCAGAAGCAAGAGAACAAGCCUAUCAAGAAAGAAGAUUUCUUUCACAACUCAUCCAGAAAUUUAUCUCUGUGCUGAAAUCAGUCCCACCUUCUGAACCUGUCACUAUGGACAAAGUUCAUUACUGUGAAAGAUUCAUUGAACUUAUGAUUGAUCUAGAGGCUUUGCUCCCUACAAGACGCUGGUUUAAUACUAUCCUGGAUGACUCCCACCUUUUGGUUCACUGUUACCUUUCCAAUCUUGUCCAUAGAGAAGAGGAUGGCCAUCUUUUCUCGCAGCUUUUGGACAUGCUCAAGUUCUAUACUGGUUUUGAGAUUAAUGACCAGACUGGAAAUGCUCUGACAGAGAAUGAGAUGACUACAAUUCACUAUGAUAGAAUUACUUCUCUACAGAGAGCUGCUUUUGCCCAUUUCCCUGAACUCUAUGAUUUUGCUCUCUCAAAUGUGGCAGAAGUAGAUACUCGAGAAUCCUUGGUCAAGUUUUUUGGGCCUCUUAGUUCAAAUACACUCCACCAGGUGGCAUCAUACCUCUGCUUGUUACCAACUCUUCCUAAAAAUGAAGAGACAAGUUUAGAUAAAGAAUUUCUUCUGGAAUUGCUGGUUUCUCGUCAUGAGCGUCGGAUUUCUCAGAUUCAGCAACUGAACCAGAUGCCUUUGUAUCCAACUGAGAAAAUCAUAUGGGAUGAAAAUAUUGUCCCGACUGAGUACUAUUCCGGAGAAGGUUGUCUUGCUCUUCCCAAGUUAAAUUUGCAGUUUUUGACUCUUCAUGAUUACCUCCUAAGGAACUUUAAUCUCUUCCGCUUAGAAUCAACUUAUGAAAUCAGGCAGGACAUCGAGGAUAGUGUCAGCAGAAUGAAGCCAUGGCAAUCUGAGUAUGGUGGUGUAGUGUUUGGUGGCUGGGCACGGAUGGCCCAGCCCAUUGUGGCUUUCACUGUAGUUGAGGUUGCCAAACCCAACAUAGGUGAAAACUGGCCCACCCGAGUUCGUGCAGAUGUUACCAUCAAUCUGAAUGUCAGAGAUCACAUCAAAGAUGAAUGGGAAGGACUUCGAAAGCAUGAUGUAUGCUUUUUAAUUACCGUACGUCCUACAAAACCUUAUGGUACCAAGUUUGACAGGAGGAGACCUUUUAUUGAGCAGAUUGGCCUGGUUUAUGUCAGAGGCUGUGAAAUCCAGGGCAUGCUUGAUGAUAAAGGGCGUGUCAUUGAAGAUGGACCUGAACCCAGACCCAAUCUUAGAGGAGAGUCAAGGACAUUCAGAGUAUUUUUGGAUCCAAACCAGUAUCAACAAGAUAUGACCAAUACUAUACAAAAUGGAGGAGAAGAUGUUUAUGAAACUUUCAAUAUAAUAAUGAGGAGAAAACCAAAGGAAAAUAACUUUAAGGCUGUGCUGGAGACUAUUCGGAACCUGAUGAAUACUGAUUGUGUGGUACCUGACUGGCUUCAUGACAUCAUUUUAGGUUACGGGGAUCCAAGUAGUGCACAUUAUUCAAAAAUGCCCAAUCAGAUCGCCACUCUUGAUUUCAACGAUACAUUUCUUUCCAUUGAGCAUUUAAAAGUCAGCUUUCCUGGUCAUAAUGUUAAAGUAACUGUGGAUGACCCAGCACUACAGAUACCCCCUUUCAGGAUAACUUUUCCAGUAAGAAGUGGAAAGGGGAAGAAAAGGAAAGAUGCAGACAGGGAAGAUGAAGACACUGAAGAGGCAAAAACCUUAAUUGUUGAACCUCAUGUUAUUCCGAAUAGGGGUCCUUAUCCUUACAAUCAACCCAAACGUAAUACAAUUCAGUUCACUCAUACACAGAUAGAGGCCAUCCGAGCUGGGAUGCAGCCCGGGCUAACUAUGGUUGUGGGCCCGCCAGGUACUGGAAAAACAGAUGUGGCAGUCCAAAUCAUAUCCAACAUAUACCACAAUUUCCCAGAGCAGAGGACUCUGAUUGUUACUCAUUCCAAUCAGGCCUUGAACCAAUUGUUUGAGAAAAUCAUGGCUUUAGACAUUGACGAGCGCCACCUCCUACGUCUUGGUCAUGGAGAAGAAGAGCUGGAGACAGAGAAAGAUUUUAGCAGGUAUGGAAGAGUUAAUUAUGUCCUUGCUCGAAGAAUAGAACUUUUAGAAGAAGUCAAACGAUUGCAGAAGAGUCUAGGAGUUCCAGGAGAUGCCUCCUAUACUUGUGAAACAGCAGGCUAUUUCUUCUUAUAUCAGGUGAUGUCUCGUUGGGAGGAGUACAUCAGCAGAGUGAGAAGUAAGAGUGAUGCAUCGCCGGGUGUUGUGGAGAUCUCCACUCUCUUCCCAUUUCACGAAUACUUCGCAAAUGCCCCUCGACCCAUUUUUAAAGGUCGAUCUUAUGAAGAAGACAUGGAAAUUGCUGAGGGAUGUUUCAGGCAUAUUAAGAAAAUCUUCACUCAGCUUGAGGAAUUCAGAGCCUCAGAACUGCUUCGCAGUGGACUGGACAGAUCCAAAUACCUUUUGGUGAAAGAAGCCAAAAUCAUUGCUAUGACCUGCACGCAUGCUGCCUUAAAACGACAUGAUUUAGUCAAGCUAGGUUUCAAGUAUGACAACAUUUUAAUGGAAGAGGCUGCUCAGAUUCUGGAGAUAGAAACAUUUAUACCUCUUCUUCUACAGAAUCCUCAGGAUGGUUUUAGCCGACUGAAGCGCUGGAUUAUGAUUGGUGAUCAUCACCAGUUGCCUCCAGUCAUUAAGAACAUGGCCUUUCAGAAGUAUUCAAACAUGGAGCAAUCUCUCUUCACUCGCUUUGUCCGGGUCGGAGUUCCCACUGUGGACCUCGAUGCCCAGGGUAGAGCCAGAGCGAGCUUGUGUAACCUCUACAACUGGCGGUACAAGAAUCUAGGAAACUUACCCCACGUGCAGCUCUUGCCAGAGUUCAGAACAGCAAACGCUGGCUUGCUUUAUGACUUCCAGCUCAUCAAUGUUGAAGACUUUCAGGGAGUGGGAGAGUCUGAACCUAAUCCUUAUUUUUAUCAGAAUCUUGGAGAGGCAGAAUAUGUAGUAGCACUUUUUAUGUACAUGUGUUUACUUGGUUACCCUGCUGACAAGAUCAGUAUUCUAACAACAUAUAAUGGGCAAAAGCAUCUUAUUCGUGACAUCAUCAAUAGACGAUGUGGGAGCAAUCCAUUGAUUGGAAGACCAAAUAAGGUCACAACUGUUGACAGAUUUCAAGGUCAGCAGAAUGAUUAUAUUCUUCUUUCUCUUGUACGAACCAGGGCAGUGGGCCAUCUAAGGGAUGUCCGUCGCUUAGUGGUGGCCAUGUCUAGAGCCAGACUUGGACUUUAUAUCUUUGCCAGAGUAUCCCUCUUCCAAAACUGUUUUGAACUAACUCCCGCCUUCAGUCAGCUCACGGCCCGCCCACUUCAUUUGCAUAUAAUUCCAACGGAACCUUUCCCGACCAAUAGGAAGAAUGGAGAGAGACCAUCUCAUGAAGUACAGAUAAUAAAGAAUAUGCCCCAGAUGGCCAACUAUGUAUACAACAUGUACAUGCAUUUGAUACAGACCACACAUCAUUAUCAUCAGACUUUAUUACAGUUGCCACCUGCUAUGGUAGAAGAAGGUGAGGAAGUUCAAAGUCAGGAAACAGAAUUGGAAACAGAAGAAGAAGCCAAUCCUUGUCAAGCUGACAUACCCAGUCUUACAGACACCAGCUCCAGUCAAGAAUCCUUAGCCUCUCAGACCGAGACCAGCGACAGUCAGACUGAGAGCACCCCCAGCCAGCCAGGAGCCAGCCCCGGGGCAGAGGCCAUCCCUGCUCCGUCCGCUGAGGCUGCUGGGGCCGCAGGACCUGCAUCUGAGCCAGCAGAGGCUGACGCACUCCCAAGUGCUGCUCCUGCCGCAGAAGAGACUGCGUAGCCCAGCUGAAGCUUGUCUCAGGGAGGACAUUUCAUUCAUAAAGUCUAAAGGAGAUGAAUCUUGUGUUACCUGCAGCCAUAUCAAGCAAACUGUUGGGCUCAUUAAGCCGUUUUCCAAACUAUGUACCACUCUGUGUAGAUGAUGACUGGACUUUUUUCUUUCCUGCUUCAUUUUCUAUCACAUUACAAAGAAAAUUUAACCAGAUGGAUAUUGCCAACCUAUCCUCUGACUUGGUGCUUGGCUCUGCCCCUCUCCAGGGAGCAUGUAGGAUGAUGAGGAAGGGGACACAUGGCGGCAGUGGCCACUGAGAAUCGAGGAUCCAGCACACUGGGAGGCUGAAUCAGUCCAUCGCUACACUGGAGAUGCUCUCUGCCAAAAUUAAAAUUCUGACAGAACAGCAUAACCAAAGGGAAGACAUGAGGUACCAUCCAUCAUGCUUCUGAUGUAUUGAUAAUUUCUAUCAACUCUGAAUCCUGCACUCCCCCACCUCCAGAUCAUCUCUAUUGUUGGAUUUAUUAGCUUUGUGCCUUGAAUGUGUGUUUUCCUUUUUUAUCACUUGUAGUCACUCAAAUAGUAUUUUUAGAGAUGUUUCUUCAAUUAAAAUUCAAUUCGAAAGAUUUUUUUUUAAUGCUGACCCUUUUGCACAAGCCGGAACAGCAGUUAAAGACAAGCAGUGCUUUGCUUCCUGUGAAGAAUGCUUGGCAGUUAGCCUGUGUGAUUAUGAAGCAAUCAUGUUAAUAGAUGUUUAAGAAUAAAUGCAACUGGAGCUGCACUGAGCCAAGGAUGGAAAUGAAAACAUGAAACCAUUUUUUGCCUUCAUCCACUGGGUUUUAAAUCAGUGGAAUCCAGAAGCUUUGGAUGCUUUUCAUUUUUCUUCCUAGGGACAAACCAGAGCUCAGGGCCUGGAGCAGGACUCAGAGUGCAGCACAGUUGCUGCUGGCUUGACUUGACGCCAGCUUUACCGACUUAACUCUCUGCCUUUGCCUUAUACUUACUUUAGUGGCUGCUUAAACAUACAAAGAUGGCUAAUCCCAUUAUUUCUCAACAUAUAUUAUAGGUUAACACUAGUUUUGAAACAUAUUCUGAAAAAUAUGCUUCAUGGUCAGAUAAGCUUGAGUAGCACAAUGAAUUAUUAUUCCCCUUUUGCAGAAUCACAAUGUAUUGAUAGCCGAUCAAAGGCUCUGAGAAUUCCUGCUGAGAAAAGCCACAUCUCACUUUAUUGAGGCUAGCUUUCCCCAAACUUACUUGACCAUAGAUCUCUUUGUUGCUAUUUGUGUUUGGCUUUGUUAUUUAAAUAAGACUCUAGGGAACUAGCUCUGCAGAACAGUUUUGGAACCCAUAUCUUCCCAGAAAAAUUGAACUUUGAUUUCCCCUUAGAAAAGAGGAUCAUAAUAUGGCACUCCCAAAAUAUGCCACUUUGGCAUAAGGAUUAUUUUGAGCUAAAGACAAUUGAGAAGUGGCAGAUGCAAAAACUACUCUGUCUUCCUGCUUCUGCUUAAAAGCAGAAUAUAAAUUUCAUCUUGUAGAAGUAUAGCACAGAGAAGACAAGUAGUGACUCUGUGGCAUCUUACUACACUGAUGGACAGUGACUGU